rnacentral:rRNA from 1 species
AAGCGGCAGGCCUAACACAUGCAAGUCGAACGGUAACAGGAAGCAGCUUGCUGCUUUGCUGACGAGUGGCGGACGGGUGAGUAAUGUCUGGGAAACUGCCUGAUGGAGGGGGAUAACUACUGGAAACGGUAGCUAAUACCGCAUAACGUCGCAAGACCAAAGAGGGGGACCUUCGGGCCUCUUGCCAUCGGAUGUGCCCAGAUGGGAUUAGCUAGUAGGUGGGGUAACGGCUCACCUAGGCGACGAUCCCUAGCUGGUCUGAGAGGAUGACCAGCCACACUGGAACUGAGACACGGUCCAGACUCCUACGGGAGGCAGCAGUGGGGAAUAUUUGCACAAUGGGCGCAAGCCUGAUGCAGCCAUGCCGCGUGUAUGAAGAAGGCCUUCGGGUUGUAAGUACUUUCAGACGCGGGAGCGAAGGUGUUGAGGUUAAUAACCUCAGCAACAUUGACGUUACCCGCAGAACGNAAGCACCGGCAUAACAUCCGUGUCCAAGCAACGCGG